UACGGGGGGGGCGAGCGUUGUUCGGAAUUACUGGGCGUAAAGGGUUUGUAGGUGGUCUGCUAAGUCAGACGUGAAAUCCCUCAGCUUAACUGGGGAACUGCGUCUGAUACUGGCGGACUUGAGGACAGGAGAGGAACGCGGAAUUCCAGGUGUAGCGGUGAAAUGCGUAGAUAUCUGGAGGAACACCGGUGGCGAAGGCGGCAUCCUGGACCAACACUGACACUGAGGAGCGAAAGCCAGGGGAGCAAACGGG
rnacentral:rRNA from 1 species